AUCCAGCUGACGAAUCGCAAAUUUGACGAAACGCACGUCUUGAAU
rfam:Schistosoma rodhaini strain Burundi genome assembly, scaffold: SROB_scaffold0000636